UUUUUUUAACUUUUUUAUUCGAGCGUCACUGAUGAUUCUUUGUAGACUUCACUCUCGUCUGUCGUACAACACUUUAAUCAUGGCAUGCUAUCUUUUUAUAUCAACAUAUCUUUUUAUUUAAAUUGGUUCUAUUUAUGUUCAGGUAUUCAUGGUUUUCUUUGUCUAAUAUGGUCUCCUUUUUAUUUGUAUUGUAGUCCUGUAAUAUUAUGUUGUCAUUUCAAUGUUAUAUUUAACUUUGCCAUUAAAGUGCGAGGUUUGGCAUGCCAUAAAACCAGGUUCAACCCACCACUUUUAUUCCCCUUUAAAAGUGUCCUGUACCAAGUCAGGAAGAUGGCCAUUGUUAUAAUAUUGUUCGUUUCUGUGUGUGUUGCAUUUUAACGUUGAGUCGUUUGUGUUUUCUCUUAUUUUUUAGAUAAGACGUGGCACGGUACUUAUCUAUCCCAAAUUCUUGUAUUUGGUUUUGAUGUUAUAUUUGUUAUUCUCGUGGUGUUUUGUGUGUUGCUUUUCGGUGUUGUGUCGUUGUUCUCCUCUUAUAUUUAAUGCGUUUCCCUCGGUUUUAGUUUGUUACCCCGAUUUUGUUUUUUGUCCAUGGAUUUAUGAGUUUUGAACAGCGGUAUACUACUGUUGCCUUUAUUCAUAUAAAUUCUGAAAAUAAGAUAUUCUUCAAAACAAAAGACUUUCUGUAUAAUAUUUUGAUUGGUUUAAGUAACAUCAGGAAAUCCUUAAAAUUUGAGAUUUUUUUUUU
rnacentral:lncRNA from 1 species